rnacentral:rRNA from 1 species
GUGCCAGCCGCGCGGUAAUACGUAGGGUGCAAGCGUUAAUCGGAAUUACUGGGCGUAAAGCGUGCGCAGGCGGUUAUAUAAGACAGUUGUGUAAAUCCCCGGGCUCAACCUGGGAACUGCAUUUGUGACUGUAUAGCUAGAGUACGGUAGAGGGGGAUGGAAUUCCGCGUGUAGCAGUGAAAUGCGUAGAUAUGCGGAGGAACACCGAUGGCGAAGGCAAUCCCCUGGACCUGUACUGACGCUCAUGCACGAAAGCGUGGGGAGCAAACAGGAUUAGAUACCCUGGUAGUCCACGCCCUAAACGAUGUCAACUGGUUGUUGGGUCUUCACUGACUCAGUAACGAAGCUAACGCGUGAAGUUGACCGCCUGGGGAGUACGGCCGCAAGGUUGAAACUCAAAGGGAAUUGACGGGGGACCCGCACAAGCGGUGGAUGAUGUGGUUUAAUUCGAUGCAACGCGAAAAACCUUACCCACCUUUGACAUGUACGGAAUCCUUUAGAGAUAGAGGAGUGCUCCAAAGAGAGCCGUAACACAGGUGCUGCAUGGCUGUCCGUCAGCUCGUG